AUGCCUCUCUUGCAGUGUCGCGGGUGAUGACUGGUGUAGUCUAAAUCCUGCUGGCUAUUCGUAGGCUUUCGGUAAAGUGUCGUUCUCAGUUUUACAUUUUCUGUGUAGACCGUCUUGUCAAGGAAGUUGAUUUGACUACGAGAGUGGUGAGCAAUCAAUUAAAUACUCGG
rnacentral:lncRNA from 1 species